AUUGAACGCUAGUGGGAUGCUUUACACAUGCAAGUCGAACGGAGUGGCGGACGGGUGAGUAAUAUAUCGGAACGUGCCCAGUAUCGGGGGAUAACUACUCGAAAGAGUGGCUAAUACCGCAUACUCUUGGAGCGGCCGAUAUCGGAUUCGCUAGUUGGUUGGGUAAAGGCUCACCAAGGCAACGCUCCGUAGCUGGUUUUCGAGGACGACCAGCCACACUGGGACGGAGACACGGCCCAGACUCCUACGGGAGGCAGCAGUGGGGAAUUUUGGACAAUGGGGGAAACCCUGAUCCAGCCAUCCCGCGUAUAUGAAGAAGGCCUUCGGGUUGUAAAGGACUUUCAGCGGGGAGGCGUUACCCGCAGAAGAAGCACCGGCUAACUCCGUGCCAGCAGCCGCGGUAAUAC
rnacentral:rRNA from 1 species